rnacentral:rRNA from 1 species
UACGUAGGGUCCGAGCGUUUGUCCGGAAUUAUUGGGCGUAAAGGGCUCGUAGGCGGUUCGUCACGUCGGGAGUGAAAACUCCGGGGCUUAACCCCGAGCCUGCUUCCGAUACGGGCAGACUAGAGGUAGGCAGGGGGAGAGCGGAACUCCUGGUGUAGCGGUGGAAUGCGCAGAUAUCCGGAGGAACACCAGAGGCGAAGGCGGCUUCCUGGACCGAUUCUGACACUGAGGAGCGAAAGCGUGGGGAGCGAGUCCGG